rnacentral:tRNA from 1 species
UCCCCGGCAGUCCAGUGGUUAAGACUCCCCACUGUCACUGCCGAGAGCCUGGGUUCAAUCCCAGGCUGGGGAU